rnacentral:rRNA from 1 species
AAGAGACAGCAGCAGCCGCGGUAAUACGAAGGGGGCUAGCGUUGUUCGGAUUAACUGGGCGUAAAGGGCGCGUAGGCGGGUCUUUAAGUCAGGGGUGAAAUCCCAAGGCUCAACCUUGGAACUGCCUUUUAUACUGGAGAUCUUGAGUCCGGGAGAGGUGAGUGGAACUGCGAGUGUAGAGGUGAAAUUCGUAGAUAUUCGCAAGAACACCAGUGGCGAAGGCGGCUCACUGGCCCGGUACUGACGCUGAGGCGCGAAAGCGUGGGGAGCAAACAGGAUUAGAUACCCCAGUAGUCCCUGUCUCUUAUAC